rnacentral:lncRNA from 1 species
UGAGAGCCUAUGGGAGCCGUGGGAAGUGUCACGUUACCGCAGAGAUCCUUUGUUUUGGAAAGAGAUGUCAAAGAAAGCCAAUAAAUAGUCAGACAGGCCACUUCCUGUAAAGGAAUCUCUCAGGUUUUUGCCUGCCAUAUGAGUUCUGUUAUACUCACAGACACCAUUCAAACAGUUUUAGAAACUUUAGUGUGUUUUCUAUCCAUAUCUAAUAAGUAUAUGCAUAUUCUAGUUACUGGGUAGGAGUAGUAACCAGAUUAAAUCGGGUACGUUUUUUAUCCGGCGGUGUAAAUACUGCCCCCUAGCCCUAAGAGGAUAACAUAAAUCUUCAGGGCGUUUUUCAACAAGAGAGCCAAUAAGAUUCGAGGGGGACGAUUGCAGUGUGUUUCAAAACGUUUCGAAAGGGGAGGGUAACCAGGGACGCCGGCAUUCCCCAUGCGGGGGGGCUGGCAGCACUAGCUCACUAUUUGGGAGACAGAGAUACUAAUGAAUAUCCACCAACAAACUUUAUUUUAGAGCUGGCAGAAUAUGUUUUGAAGUAUAACUAUUUUAGGUUUGAUGAUGAAUACUACCUCCAAACGAAUGGAACGUCGAUGGGCUCCACAUUCGAUCCGAGUUAUGCUAACCUUUAUGUGGGUCUAUUUGAAGAACGUUUUGUCAAUAACAAAAAACGAAAAUCCAUUUUUGAAUAAAAUCCUGAAGUGGUAUCGAUAUAUUGACAAAAAUUUUUGCAUAUGGGAAGGAACUGAACAAGAGCUGUCAGAUAGGGUAGGAAACAGACAGUGGGUUAGGGUAGGAAACAGACAGACAGUGAAUUAGGGUAUGAAACAGACAGACAUUUAGUUAGGGUAUGAAACAGACAGACAGUGAGUUAGGGUAGGAAACAGACAGACAGUGGGUUAGGGUAUGAUACAGACAGACAGUGAGUUAGGGUAUGAUACAGACAGACAGCGGGUUAGGGUAUGAAACAGACAGACAGUGGGUUAGGGUAUGAAACAGACAGACAGUGAGUUAGGGUAGGAAACAGACAGACAGUGGGUUAGGGUAUGAUACAGACAGACAGUGAGUUAGGGUAUGAAACAGACAGACAGUGAGUUAGGGUAGGACAGACAGUGGGUUACGGUAGGAAACAGACAGACAGUGGGUUAGGGUAGGAAACAGACAUUGGGUUAGGGUAGGAAACAGACAGACAGUGGGUUAGGGUAUGAAACAGACAGACAGUGAGUUAGGGUAGGAAACAGACAGUGGGUUAGGGUAGGAAACAGACAGACAGUGGGUUAGGGUAGGAAACAGACAGACAGUGUGUUAGGGUAGGAAACAGACAGUGUGUUAGGGUAGGAGACAGACAGACAGUGGGUUAGGGUAUGAAACAGACAGACAGUGGGUUAGGGUAAGAAAUAGACAGACAGUGGUUUAGGGUAUGAAACAGACAGACAGUGGGUUAGGGUAGGAAACAGACAGUGGGUUAGGGUAGGAAACAGACAGACAGUGGGUUAGGGUAGGAAACAGACAGUGGGUUAGGGUAUGAAACAGACAGACAGUGGGUUAGGGUAGGACACAGACAGUGAGUUAGGGUAUGAAAUAGACAGACAGUGGGUUAGGGUAGGAAAUAGACAGUGGGAUAGGGUAGGAAACAGACAGUGGGUUAGGGUAGGAAACAGACAGACAGUGGGUUAGGGUAUGAAACAGACAGACAGUGGGUUAGGGUAGGAAAUAGACAGUGGGUUAGGGUAGUACACAGACAGACUGAGGGUUAGGGUAGAAGGCAGACAGUGGGUCAGGGUAUGAAACAGACAGACAGUGGGUUAGGUAAGGAAACAGACAGACAGUGGUUUGGGUAUGAAACAGACAGACAGUGGGUUAGGGUAGGAAACAGACAGACAGUGGGUUAGGGUAUGAAACAGACAGACAGUGGGAUAGGGUAGGACGCAGACAGUGUGUUAGGGUAUGAAACAGACAGACAGUGGGUUAGGUAAGGAAACAGACAGACAGUGGUUUGGGUAUGAAACAGACAGACAGUGUGUUAGGGUAGGAAACAGACAGACAGUGGGUUAGGGUAGGAAACAGACAGUGGGUUAGGGUAUGAAACAGACAGACAGUGGGAUAGGGUAGGACGCAGACAGUGUGUUAGGGUAUGCAAUAGACAGACAGUGGGUUAGGGUAUGAAACAGACAGACAGUGGGUUAGGGUAGGAAAUAGACAGUGGGAUAGGGUAGGAAAGAGACAGUGGGUUAGGGUAGGAAACAGACAGACAGUGGGUUAGGGUAGGAAACAGACAGUGGGUUAGGGUAAGACACAGACAGACAGUGGGUUAGGGUAGGAAACAGACAGUGGGUUAGGGUAGGAAACAGACAGACAGUGGGUUAGGGUAGGAAACAGACAGUGGGUUAGGGUAUGAAACAGACAGACAGUGGGUUAGGGUAGGACACAGACAGUGAGUUAGGGUAUGAAAUAGACAGACAGUGGGUUAGGGUAGGAAACAGACAGACAGUGGGUUAGGGUAGGAAACAGACAGUGGGUUAGGGUAUGAAACAGACAGACAGUGGGAUAGGGUAGGACGCAGACAGUGUGUUAGGGUAUGCAAUAGACAGACAGUGGGUUAGGGUAUGAAACAGACAGACAGUGGGUUAGGGUAGGAAAUAGACAGUGGGAUAGGGUAGGAAAGAGACAGUGGGUUAAGGUAGGAAACAGACAGACAGUGGGUUAGGGUAUGAAACAGACAGACAGUGGGUCAGGGUAGGAAAUAGACAGUGGGUUAGGGUAAGACACAGACAGACAGUGGGUCAGGGUAGGAAACAGACAGUGGGUUAGGGUAGGAAACAGACAGACAGUGGGUUAGGGUAGGAAACAGACAGUGUGUUAGGGUAUGAAACAGACAGACAGUGGGUUAGGGUAGGACACAGACAGUGGGUUAGGGUAGGAUAUAGACAGUGGGAUAGGGUAGGAAACAGACAGUGGGUUAGGGUAGGAAACAGACAGACAGUGGGUUAGGGUAUGAAACAGACAGACAGUGGGUUAGGGUAGGAAAUAGACAGUGGGUUAGGGUAGGACACAGACAGACUGUGGGUUAGGGUAGAAGACAGACAGUGGGUCAGGGUAUGAAACAGACAGACAGUGGGUUAGGUAAGGAAACAGACAGACAGUGGUUUGGGUAUGAAACAGACAGACAGUGGGUUAGGGUAGGAAACAGACAGACAGUGGGUUAGGGUAGGAAACAGACAGUGGGUUAGGGUAUGAAACAGACAGACAGUGGGAUAGGGUAGGACGCAGACAGUGUGUUAGGGUAUGAAACAGACAGACAGUGGGUUAGGGUAGGAAACAGACAGACAGUGGGUUAGGGUAGGAAAUAGACAGUGGGUUAGGGUAAGACACAGACAGACAGUGGGUUAGGGUAGGAAACAGACAGUGGGUUAGGGUAGGAAACAGACAGACAGUGGGUUAGGGUAGGAAACAGACAGUGGGUUAGGGUAUGAAACAGACAGACAGUGGGUUAGGGUAGGACACAGACAGUGAGUUAGGGUAUGAAAUAGACAGACAGUGGGUUAGGGUAUGAAACAGACAGACAGUGGGUUAGGGUAGGAAAUAGACAGUGGGAUAGGGUAGGAAACAGACAGUGGGUUAGGGUAGGAAACAGACAGACAGUGGGUUAGGGUAUGAAACAGACAGACAGUGUGUUAGGGUAGGAAAUAGACAGUGGGUUAGGGUAGGACACAGACAGACUGUGGGUUAGGGUAGAAGACAGACAGUGGGUCAGGGUAUGAAACAGACAGACAGUGGGUUAGGUAAGGAAACAGACAGACAGUGGUUUGGGUAUGAAACAGACAGACAGUGGGUUAGGGUAGGAAACAGACAGACAGUGGGUUAGGGUAGGAAACAGACAGUGGGUUAGGGUAUGAAACAGACAGACAGUGGGAUAGGGUAGGACGCAGACAGUGUGUUAGGGUAUGAAACAGACUGACAGUGGGUUAGGUAAGGAAACAGACAGACAGUGGUUUGGGUAUGAAACAGACAGACAGUGCGUUAGGGUAGGAAACAGACAGACAGUGGGUUAGGGUAGGAAACAGACAGUGGUUUAGGGUAUGAAACAGACAGACAGUGGGAUAGGGUAGGACGCAGACAGUGUGUUAGGGUAUGCAAUAGACAGACAGUGGGUUAGGGUAUGAAACAGACAGACAGUGGGUUAGGGUAGGAAAUAGACAGUGGGAUAGGGUAGGAAAGAGACAGUGGGUUAGGGUAGGAAACAGACAGACAGUGGGUUAGGGUAGGAAACAGACAGUGGGUUAGGGUAAGACACAGACAGACUGUGGGUUAGGGUAGGAAACAGACAGUGGGUCAGGUUAUGAAACAGACAGACAGUGAGUUAGGGUAGGACAAACAGUGGGUUAGGGUAGGAAACAGACAGACAGUGGGUUAGGGUAGGAAACAGACAGACAGUGUGUCAGGGUAGGAGACAGACAGUGGGUUAGGGUAUGAAACAGACAGACAGUGAAUUAGGGUAUGAAACAGACAGACAUUGAGUUAGGGUAUGAAACAGACAGACAGUGAGUUAGGGUAGGAAACAGACAGACAGUGUGUUAGGGUAUGAUACAGACAGACAGUGAGUUAGGGUAUGAUACAGACAGACAGCGGGUUAGGGUAUGAAACAGACAGACAGUGGGUUAGGGUAUGAAACAGACAGACAGUGAGUUAGGGUAGGAAACAGACAGACAGUGGGUUAGGGUAUGAUACAGACAGACAGUGAGUUAGGGUAUGAUACAGACAGACAGUGGGUUAGGGUAUGAAACAGACAGACAGUGAGUUAGGGUAGGACAGACAGUGGGUUAGGGUAGGAAACAGACAGACAGUGGGUUAGGGUAGGAAACAGACAGUGUGUUAGGGUAGGAAACAGACAGACAGUGGGUUAGGGUAUGAAACAGACAGACAGUGAGUUAGGGUAGGAAACAGACAGUGGGUUAGGGUAGGAAACAGACAGACAGUGGGUUAGGGUAGGAAACAGACAGACAGUGUGUUAGGGUAGGAAACAGACAGUGUGUUAGGGUAGGAGACAGACAGACAGUGGGUUAGGGUAUAAAACAGACAGACAGUGGGUUAGGGUAAGAAAUAGACAGACAGUGGUUUAGGGUAUGAAACAGACAGACAGUGGGUUAGGGUAGGAAACAGACAGUGGGUUAGGGUAGGAAACAGACAGACAGUGGGUUAGGGUAGGAAACAGACAGUGGGUUAGGGUAGGAAACAGACAGACAGUGGGUUAGGGUAGGACACAGACAGUGAGUUAGGGUAUGAAAUAGACAGACAGUGGGUUAGGGUAUGAAACAGACAGACAGUGGGUUAGGGUAGGAAAUAGACAGUGGGAUAGGGUAGGAAACAGACAGUGGGUUAGGGUAGGAAACAGACAGACAGUGGGUUAGGGUAUGAAACAGACAGACAGUGGGUUAGGGUAGUACACAGACAGACUGUGGGUUAGGGUAGAAGACAGACAGUGGGUCAGGGUAUGAAACAGACAGACAGUGGGUUAGGUAAGGAAACAGACAGACAGUGGUUUGGGUAUGAAACAGACAGACAGUGGGUUAGGGUAGGAAACAGACAGACAGUGGGUUAGGGUAGGAAACAGACAGUGGGUUAGGGUAUGAAACAGACAGACAGUGGGAUAGGGUAGGACGCAGACAGUGUGUUAGGGUAUGAAACAGACAGACAGUGGAUUAGGUAAGGAAACAGACAGACAGUGGUUUGGGUAUGAAACAGACAGACAGUGCGUUAGGGUAGGAAACAGACAGACAGUGGGUUAGGGUAGGAAACAGACAGUGGGUUAGGGUAUGAAACAGACAGACAGUGGGAUAGGGUAGGACGCAGACAGUGUGUUAGGGUAUGCAAUAGACAGACAGUGGGUUAGGGUAUGAAACAGACAGACAGUGGGUUAGGGUAGGAAACAGACAGUGGGAUAGGGUAGGAAAGAGACAGUGGGUUAGGGUAGGAAACAGACAGACAGUGGGUUAGGGUAUGAAACAGACAGACAGUGGGUUAGGGUAGGAAAUAGACAGUGGGUUAGGGUAAGACACAGACAGACAGUGGGUUAGGGUAGGAAACAGACAGUGGGUUAGGGUAGGAAACAGACAGACAGUGGGUUAGGGUAGGAAACAGACAGUGGGUUAGGGUAUGAAACAGACAGACAGUGGGUUAGGGUAGGAAAUAGACAGUGGGAUAGGGUAGGAAACAGACAGUGGGUUAGGGUAGGAAACAGACAGACAGUGGGUUAGGGUAUGAAACAGACAGACAGUGGGUUAGGGUAGGAAAUAGACAGUGGGUUAGGGUAGGACACAGACAGACUGUGGGUUAGGGUAGAAGACAGACAGUGGGUCAGGGUAUGAAACAGACAGACAGUGGGUUAGGUAAGGAAACAGACAGACAGUGGUUUGGGUAUGAAACAGACAGACAGUGGGUUAGGGUAGGAAACAGACAGACAGUGGGUUAGGGUAGGAAACAGACAGUGGGUUAGGGUAUGAAACAGACAGACAGUGGGAUAGGGUAGGACACAGACAGUGUGUUAGGGUAUGCAAUAGACAGACAGUGGGUUAGGGUAUGAAACAGACAGACAGUGGGUUAGGGUAGGAAAUAGACAGUGGGAUAGGGUAGGAAAGAGACAGUGGGUUAGGGUAGGAAACAGACAGACAGUGGGUUAGGGUAUGAAACAGACAGACAGUGGGUUAGGGUAGGAAAUAGACAGUGGGUUAGGGUAAGACACAGACAGACAGUGGGUUAGGGUAGGAACAGACAGACAGUGGGUUAGGGUAGGAAACAGACAGUGUGUUAGGGUAGGAAACAGACAGACAGUGGGUUAGGGUAUGAAACAGACAGACAGUGAGUUAGGGUAGGAAACAGACAGUGGGUUAGGGUAGGAAACAGACAGACAGUGGGUUAGGGUAGGAAACAGACAGACAGUGUGUUAGGGUAGGAAACAGACAGUGGGUUAGGGUAGGAAACAGACAGACAGUGGGUUAGGGUAUGAAACAGACAGACAGUGGGUUAGGGUAAGAAAUAGACAGACAGUGGGUUAGGGUAUGAAACAGACAGACAGUGGGUUAGGGUAGGAAACAGACAGUGGGUUAGGGUAGGAAACAGACAGACAGUGGGUUAGGGUAGGAAACAGACAGUGGGUUAGGGUAGGAAACAGACAGACAGUGGGUUAGGGUAGGACACAGACAGUGAGUUAGGGUAUGAAAUAGACAGACAGUGGGUUAGGGUAUGAAACAGACAGACAGUGGGUUAGGGUAGGAAAUAGACAGUGGGAUAGGGUAGGAAACAGACAGUGGGUUAGGGUAGGAAACAGACAGACAGUGGGUUAGGGUAUGAAACAGACAGACAGUGGGUUAGGGUAAGACACAGACAGACUGUGGGUUAGGGUAGGAAACAGACAGUGGGUCAGGGUAUGAAACAGACAGACAGUGGGUUAGGUAAGGAAACAGACAGACAGUGGUUUGGGUAUGAAACUGACAGACAGUGUGUUAGGGUAGGAAACAGACAGACAGUGGGUUAGGGUAGGAAACAGACAGUGGGUUAGGGUAUGAAACAGACAGACAGUGGGAUAGGGUAGGACGCAGACAGUGUGUUAGGGUAUGCAAUAGACAGACAGUGGGUUAGGGUAUGAAACAGACAGACAGUGGGUUAGGGUAGGAAAUAGACAGUGGGAUAGGGUAGGAAAGAGACAGUGGGUUAGGGUAGGAAACAGACAGACAGUGGGUUAGGGUAUGAAACAGACAGACAGUGGGUUAGGGUAGGAAAUAGACAGUGGGUUAGGGUAAGACACAGACAGACAGUGGGUUAGGGUAGGAAACAGACAGUGGGUUAGGGUAUGAAACAGACAGACAGUGGGAUAGGGUAGGACGCAGACAGUGUGUUAGGGUAUGAAACAGACUGACAGUGGGUUAGGUAAGGAAACAGACAGACAGUGGUUUGGGUAUGAAACAGACAGACAGUGCGUUAGGGUAGGAAACAGACAGACAGUGGGUUAGGGUAGGAAACAGACAGUGGUUUAGGGUAUGAAACAGACAGACAGUGGGAUAGGGUAGGACGCAGACAGUGUGUUAGGGUAUGCAAUAGACAGACAGUGGGUUAGGGUAUGAAACAGACAGACAGUGGGUUAGGGUAGGAAAUAGACAGUGGGAUAGGGUAGGAAAGAGACAGUGGGUUAGGGUAGGAAACAGACAGACAGUGGGUUAGGGUAGGAAAUAGACAGUGGGUUAGGGUAAGACACAGACAGACUGUGGGUUAGGGUAGGAAACAGACAGUGGGUCAGGUUAUGAAACAGACAGACAGUGAGUUAGGGUAGGACAAACAGUGGGUUAGGGUAGGAAACAGACAGACAGUGGGUUAGGGUAGGAAACAGACAGACAGUGUGUCAGGGUAGGAAACAGACAGUGGGUUAGGGUAUGAAACAGACAGACAGUGAAUUAGGGUAUGAAACAGACAGACAUUUAGUUAGGGUAUGAAACAGACAGACAGUGAGUUAGGGUAGGAAACAGACAGACAGUGGGUUAGGGUAUGAUACAGACAGACAGUGAGUUAGGGUAUGAUACAGACAGACAGUGGGUUAGGGUAUGAAACAGACAGACAGUGGGUUAGGGUAUGAAACAGACAGACAGUGAGUUAGGGUAGGAAACAGACAGACAGUGGGUUAGGGUAUGAUACAGACAGACAGUGAGUUAGGGUAUGAUACAGACAGACAGUGGGUUAGGGUAUGAAACAGACAGACAGUGAGUUAGGGUAGGACAGACAGUGGGUUAGGGUAGGAAACAGACAGACAGUGGGUUAGGGUAGGAAACAGACAGUGUGUUAGGGUAGGAAACAGACAGACAGUGGGUUAGGGUAUGAAACAGACAGACAGUGAGUUAGGGUAGGAAACAGACAGUGGGUUAGGGUAGGAAACAGACAGACAGUGGCUUAGGGUAGGAAACAGACAGACAGUGUGUUAGGGUAGGAAACAGACAGUGUGUUAGGGUAGGAGACAGACAGACAGUGGGUUAGGGUAUAAAACAGACAGACAGUGGGUUAGGGUAUGAAACAGACAGACAGUGGGUUAGGGUAUGAAACAGACAGACAGUGGGUUAGGGUAGGAAACAGACAGUGGGUUAGGGUAGGAAACAGACAGACAGUGGGUUAGGGUAGGAAACAGACAGUGGGUUAGGGUAGGAAACAGACAGACAGUGGGUUAGGGUAGGACACAGACAGUGAGUUAGGGUAUGAAAUAGACAGACAGUGGGUUAGGGUAUGAAACAGACAGACAGUGGGUUAGGGUAGGAAAUAGACAGUGGGAUAGGGUAGGAAACAGACAGUGGGUUAGGGUAGGAAACAGACAGACAGUGGGUUAGGGUAUGAAACAGACAGACAGUGGGUUAGGGUAGGACACAGACAGACUGUGGGUUAGGGUAGAAGACAGACAGUGGGUCAGGGUAUGAAACAGACAGACAGUGGGUUAGGUAAGGAAACAGACAGACAGUGGUUUGGGUAUGAAACAGACAGACAGUGGGUUAGGGUAGGAAACAGACAGACAGUGGGUUAGGGUAGGAAACAGACAGUGGGUUAGGGUAUGAAACAGACAGACAGUGGGAUAGGGUAGGACGCAGACAGUGGGUCAGGGUAUGAAACAGACAGACAGUGGGUUAGGUAAGGAAACAGACAGACAGUGGUUUGGGUAUGAAACAGACAGACAGUGGGUUAGGGUAGGAAACAGACAGACAGUGGGUUAGGGUAGGAAACAGACAGUGGGUUAGGGUAUGAAACAGACAGACAGUGGGAUAGGGUAGGACGCAGACAGUGUGUUAGGGUAUGAAACAGACAGACAGUGGGUUAGGGUAUGAAACAGACAGACAGUGGGUUAGGGUAGGAAAUAGACAGUGGGUUAGGGUAAGACACAGACAGACAGUGGGUUAGGGUAGGAAACAGACAGUGGGUUAGGGUAGGAAACAGACAGACAGUGGGUUAGGGUAGGAAACAGACAGUGGGUUAGGGUAUGAAACAGACAGACAGUGGGUUAGGGUAGGACACAGACAGUGGGUUAGGGUAUGAAACAGACAGACAGUGGGUUAGGGUAGGAAACAGACAGACAGUGGGUUAGGGUAGGAAACAGACAGACAGUGGGUUAGGGUAGGAAACAGACAGUGGGUUAGGGUAGGAAACAGACAGACAGUGGGUUAGGGUAGGAAACAGACAGACAGUGGGUUAGGGUAGGAAACAGACAGACAGUGGGUUAGGGUAGAAGACAGACAGUGGGUUAGGGUAUGAAACAGACAGACAGUGGGUUAGGGUAUGAAACAGACAGACAGUGGGUUAGGGUAUGAAACAGACAGACAGUGGGUUAGGGUAGGAAACAGACAGACAGUGGGUUAGGGUAGGAAACAGACAGACAGUGGGUUAGGGUAUGAAACAGACAGACAGUGGGUUAGGGUAGGAAACAGACAGUGGGUUAGGGUAGGAAACAGACAGUGGGUUAGGGUAGGAAACAGACAGACAGUGGGUUAGGGUAUGAAACAGACAGACAGUGGGUUAGGGUAGGAAACAGACAGUGGGUUAGGGUAGGAAACAGACAGACAGUGGGUUAGGGUAGGAAACAGACAGACAGUGGGUUAGGGUAGGAAACAGACAGACAGUGGGUUAGGGUAGGAAACAGACAGACAGUGGGUUAGGGUAGGAAACAGACAGUGGGUUAGGGUAUGAAACAGACAGACAGUGGGUUAGGGUAGGAAACAGACAGACAGUGGGUUAGGGUAUGAAACAGACAGACAGUGGGUUAGGGUAGGAAACAGACAGACAGUGGGUUAGGGUAUGAAACAGACAGACAGUGGGUUAGGGUAUGAAACAGACAGACAGUGGGUUAGGGUAUGAAACAGACAGACAGUGGGUUAGGGUAUGAAACAGACAGACAGUGGGUUAGGGUAGGAAACAGACAGACAGUGGGUUAGGGUAUGAAACAGACAGACAGUGGGUUAGGGUAUGAAACAGACAGACAGUGGGUUAGGGUAGGAAACAGACAGUGGGUUAGGGUAGGAAACAGACAGACAGUGGGUUAGGGUAUGAAACAGACAGACAGUGGGUUAGGGUAUGAAACAGACAGACAGUGGGUUAGGGUAGGAAACAGACAGUGGGUUAGGGUAGGAAACAGACAGACAGUGGGUUAGGGUAGGAAACAGACAGACAGUGGGUUAGGGUAGGAAACAGACAGUGGGUUAGGGUAGGAAACAGACAGACAGUGGGUUAGGGUAGGAAACAGACAGACAGUGGGUUAGGGUAGGAAAUAGACAGACAGUGGGUUAGGGUAGGAAGACAGACAGUGGGUUAGGGUAGGAAACAGACAGACAGUGGGUUAGGGUAGGAAAGACAGACAGUGGGUUAGGGUAUGAAACAGACAGACAGUGGGUUAGGGUAGGAAACAGACAGUGGGUUAGGGUAUGAAAUAGACAGACAGUGGGUUAGGGUAUGAAACAGACAGACAGUGGGUUAGGGUAGGAAACAGACAGUGGGAUAGGGUAGGAAACAGACAGUGGGUUAGGGUAGGAAACAGACAGACAGUGGGUUAGGGUAUGAAACAGACAGACAGUGGGUUAGGGUAGGAAAUAGACAGUGGGUUAGGGUAGGACACAGACAGACUGUGGGUUAGGGUAGAAGACAGACAGUGGGUCAGGGUAUGAAACAGACAGACAGUGGGUUAGGUAAGGAAACAGACAGACAGUGGUUUGGGUAUGAAACAGACAGACAGUGGGUUAGGGUAGGAAACAGACAGACAGUGGGUUAGGGUAGGAAACAGACAGUGGGUUAGGGUAUGAAACAGACAGACAGUGGGAUAGGGUAGGACGCAGACAGUGUGUUAGGGUAUGAAACAGACUGACAGUGGGUUAGGUAAGGAAACAGACAGACAGUGGUUUGGGUAUGAAACAGACAGACAGUGUGUUAGGGUAGGAAACAGACAGACAGUGGGUUAGGGUAGGAAACAGACAGUGGGUUAGGGUAUGAAACAGACAGACAGUGGGAUAGGGUAGGACGCAGACAGUGUGUUAGGGUAUGCAACAGACAGACAGUGGGUUAGGGUAUGAAACAGACAGACAGUGGGUUAGGGUAGGAAAUAGACAGUGGGAUAGGGUAGGAAAGAGACAGUGGGUUAGGGUAGGAAACAGACAGACAGUGGGUUAGGGUAUGAAACAGACAGACAGUGGGUUAGGGUAGGAAAUAGACAGUGGGUUAGGGUAAGACACAGACAGACAGUGGGUUAGGGUAGGAAACAGACAGUGUGUUAGGGUAGGAAACAGACAGACAGUGGGUUAGGGUAGGAACGACAGACAGUGGGUUAGGGUAGGAAACAGACAGACAGUGGGUUAGGGUAUGAAACAGACAGACAGUGGGUUAGGGUAGGAAAUAACAUAGACAGACAGUGGGUUAGGGUAGGAAACAGACAGUGGGUUAGGGUAUGAAACAGACAGACAGUGGGUUAGGGUAUGAAACAGACAGACAGUGGGUUAGGGUAGGAAACAGACAGACAGUGGGUUAGGGUAGGACACAGACAGACAGUGGGUUAGGGUAGAAGACAGACAGUGGGUUAGGGUAUGAAACAGACAGACAGUGGGUUAGGGUAAAACAGACAGUGGGUUAGGGAGAAACAGACAGACAGUGGGUUAGGGUAUGAAACAGACAGACAGUGGGUUAGGGUAGGAAACAGACAGACAGUGGGUUAGGGUAGGAAAAAACAGACAGUGGGUUAGGGUAUGAAACAGACAGACAGUGGGAUAGGGUAGGAAACAGACAGUGUGUUAGGGUAUGAAACAGACAGACAGUGGGUUAGGGUAGGAAACAGACAGACAGUGGUUUGGGUAGGAAACAGACAGACAGUGCGUUAGGGUAGGAAACAGACAGACAGUGGGUUAGGGUAGGAAACAGACAAGUGGUUAGGGUAUGCAAUAGACAGACAGUGGGUUAGGGUAUGAAACAGACAGACAGUGGGUUAGGGUAGGAAAUAGACAGUGGGAUAGGGUAGGAAACAGACAGUGGGUUAGGGUAGGAAACAGACAGACAGUGGGUUAGGGUAUGAAACAGACAGACAGUGGGUUAGGGUAGGAAG